GACGAACGCUGGCGGCGUGCUUAACACAUGCAAGUCGAGCGGUAAGGCCCUUCGGGGUACGACGAGCGGCGAACGGGUGAGUAACACGUGGGUGACCUGCCUCUAGCUCUGGGAUAAGCCUGGGAAACUGGGUCUAAUACCGGAUAUGACUCCACGGCGCAUGUUGUGGGGUGGAAAGCCUUGUGUGGCUAGAGAUGGGCCCGCGGCC
rnacentral:rRNA from 1 species